rnacentral:rRNA from 1 species
CCUACGGGAGGCUGCAGUGAGGAAUAUUGGUCAAUGGACGAGAGUCUGAACCAGCCAAGUAGCGUGAAGGAUGACUGCCCUAUGGGUUGUAAACUUCUUUUAUAAAGGAAUAAAACGAGGCACGUGUGCCUUUUUGCAUGUACUUUAUGAAUAAGGAUCGGCUAACUCCGUGCCAGCAGCCGCGGUAAUACGGAGGAUCCGAGCGUUAUCCGGAUUUAUUGGGUUUAAAGGGAGCGUAGAUGGGAUGUUAAGUCCGGUGUGAAAGCUUGCGGCUCAACGGGAAAAGUGCAAUUGAUACUGGCAUGCUGGAGUGCGGGUGAGGUAGGCGGAAUUCGUGGUGUAGCGGUGAAAUGCUUAGAUAUUAGGAGGAACACCGGUUGCGAAGGCAGCUUGCUGGACCGUAACUGACGUUGAGGCUCGAAAGCGUGGGUAGCAAACAGGAUUAGAUACCCGAGUAGUC